rnacentral:rRNA from 1 species
CGAACGCUGAAGCCGACAGCUUGCUGUUGGUGGAUGAGUGGCGAACGGGUGAGUAACACGUGAGUAACCUGCCCCUGAUUUCGGGAUAAGCCUGGGAAACUGGGUCUAAUACCGGAUACGACCAAUCCUUGCAUGAGGGUUGGUGGAAAGUUUUUCGAUCGGGGAUGGGCUCGCGGCCUAUCAGCUUGUUGGUGGGGUAAUGGCCUACCAAGGCGACGACGGGUAGCCGGCCUGAGAGGGCGACCGGCCACACUGGGACUGAGACACGGCCCAGACUCCUACGGGAGGCAGCAGUGGGGAAUAUUGCACAAUGGGGGAAACCCUGAUGCAGCGACGCAGCGUGCGGGAUGACGGCCUUCGGGUUGUAAACCGCUUUCAGCAGGGAAGAAGCGAAAGUGACGGUACCUGCAGAAGAAGUACCGGCUAACUACGUGCCAGCAGCCGCGGUAAUACGUAGGGUACGAGCGUUGUCCGGAAUUAUUGGGCGUAAAGAGCUCGUAGGUGGUUGGUCACGUCUGCUGUGGAAACGCAACGCUUAACGUUGCGCGUGCAGUGGGUACGGGCUGACUAGAGUGCAGUAGGGGAGUCUGGAAUUCCUGGUGUAGCGGUGAAAUGCGCAGAUAUCAGGAGGAACACCGGUGGCGAAGGCGGGACUCUGGGCUGUAACUGACACUGAGGAGCGAAAGCAUGGGGAGCGAACAGGAUUAGAUACCCUGGUAGUCCAUGCCGUAAACGUUGGGCACUAGGUGUGGGGGACAUUCCACGUUCUCCGCGCCGUAGCUAACGCAUUAAGUGCCCCGCCUG